UCCUACGGGGGGCAGCAGUAGGGAAUUUUCGUCAAUGGGCGCAAGCCUGAACGAGCAAUGCCGCGUGAACGAGGAAGGUCUUCGGAUCGUAAAGUUCUGUCGAAGGGGAAAAAGAGCGGAGAGAGGAAAUGGUCUCCGAUUGAUAUUACCCUUCGAGGAAGUCACGGCUAACUACGUGCCAGCAGCCGCGGUAAUACGUAGGUGGCGAGCGUUAUCCGGAAUGAUUGGGCGUAAAGGGUGCGUAGGCGGCCUGCUGAGUCUGGAGUGAAAGGUACCGGCUCAACCGGUACAGGCUCUGGAAACUG
rnacentral:rRNA from 1 species